GAGAAACCCUUAUGGGGCAGGACUUGCUUCAGUGGGGCUUUGGUGCUCACUGAGUCUGCCCCUUGAGUGUGUUGCU
rfam:Myotis brandtii contig204841, whole genome shotgun sequence.